rnacentral:rRNA from 1 species
UGCUUUUAGUAAAUAGCCGCAGUAUUUUGACUGUGCUAAGGUAGCAUAAUCAUUAGUCUUUUAAUUGAAGGCUGGUAUGAAUGGUGAGACGAGAAAAUUUCUGUCUCUUUUAAAAUAAUUGAAUUUCAUUUCUGAGUGAAAAAGCUAAGAUAGUUUUGAAGGACGAUCAGACCCUUUGGAGCUUUAUUUAUUUUUUAUAAUAAAUUAAUAUUUAAUGAUUGUUGUAGAAGAUGAAUUUUGUUGGGGCGACAGAGAGUUUAACAUAACACUCUUUUUAUUAAACAAAAAUAAUUGAAUUAUUGAUCCCUAAAGAAGGAUUAGAAGACUAAGUUACCCUAGGGAUAACAGCGUAAUCUUUUUGGAGAGUUCUUAUCGAUAAAAAGGUUUGCGACCUCGAUGUUGGAUUAAGAAAUUAGCAAGGUGCAGAAGUUUUGCUGGAGAGUCUGUUCGACUUUUAAUAUCUUACAU